GGGAACAGGUGCGCGUCGAUCCCAAAACGAGGCGGCGUUGGCGUGCUAGGUCUGGGGUACGGGAUGUGGAGGGCCGCCGCCGCCGCCGCCGCCGCCGCUCGUCGUUCGUCAGUCGCCGUUCUACUCCAGACAAGACUACUUCCCCGUGCUCGCGGGCGAGUGCAAGGAGUUCAUGUUGGCCCUGCCGCUGGACGAGAAGAGGACGCGGUUUCCGGUGUGGGGGUGGCACACCAUGCGGAGGUUGCCGCUGGCGGAGCCGUGAUGGCGCCGGUGUUGCCGCGGCACACCAGGACGCUGCAGAGGGCGGUGAGGUGCGCGGAGUAGUGGCCCUCGCGGCUGGUCUGGCGGUUCGAGACCCUGCAGGUCUGCCCCUCCCUCGAGAAGUGGAAGUCCAAGCUGCGGAGGCGCGCGAGGCAGCUGAAGCGGUAGCCGCUGGUGGACCGCCAGUAGUGGUGGCUGUCGAAGUACCCCUUCUGCGGGUGGCGCGUCCAGUUCGCGUAGCGGCUCCUGGACGUUCUGGUGGCCUUUCGACGACUUCUCAGUCUGUUCCUCCGACCUGUAGUCUUCCGUUAAUCGAGUGAGAGUUUUAGGAAUCUAACCAGAGUAAAGGAGUGUCCAAGGAACCUAUUUAGACGAUUCGAUACCCUACGUUCUUGUGACUGGGACUAUUUCUGUAUACAGUGUCUCGCUGGUCAAUUACGACAACUGUACAGAGGAUGAGAACUAUUACACCAAUAACCUCCACCAGUUCUACGUUACUUGCAAUGAUACUGUCUAGCGGCACGGCCAUUUAAGCUCCGGUUUAAAAAGGUGUUCUAAAAUGUUCUUCUCUAACCACCACAAUUUCCUGUAAAACCUGGUUAGUUACGUAACCGUAAAUUAGGACUACCCUUCGCCAAUAAAGUAUAAUGUAACAUAAAACUAAAGAAUAUAAGCAUAAGACGGAGACGUGAACCCAAACACAAUACGGAGACAAAGUGUGAACAAAAUUGCUGGACACAAAAGGGUACAUUACAGGUAUCGAAAAGCUCACCACCCCUCCUACCUAUACACUCCGAUGUGGUAAAACUAGGACUCAUAAAGUUGUAGUUCUACAUU
rnacentral:rRNA from 1 species